CUUUCAAUUAAUUUCGUGGGUGUGUGUAGGCCAUUUGUUAUGACAUUCCAUAACUCAUAGUUUUGUGAUUGAGUAAAGAUUUUCAUUCUAGCUUUCCAUUGAAUAUAGUUAGAUCCAUCAAACAGUGGAGGUCUGUUUGUGGAAAGUCCCUCAGCAAGUAAUACGUUAUGUGGGGUUGUCAUGAUCUUUGGCUCUAGUCGGUUAAGACUACAAAUAAUAUUUGAGCACCUGCUCUGAUACCACUUGUUGCCCAGUAGAUACAACCCAAGAGGGGGGGUGAAUUGGGUCUUUUAAAACUUUUAGACUACUUCUAAAACUUUUCAAUUAAUUAUGCUAAGUUGUAUAGAUGCACAGUGAAGU
rnacentral:lncRNA from 1 species